rnacentral:rRNA from 1 species
UUUAUUGGGGUUGCGGACAUAUCAUAACGAAGAGGUAUCGUAAUUGAAGAGGUUUGGAAAGACCCACCACAGAAGGUAAUAGUCCUGUAUGUUAAACGAGAAGACUUCAGAUAUGAUCCAGAGUACCACGGGACACGUGAAACCCUGUGGGAAGCAGGAGGGACCACCCUCCAAGGCUAAAUACUACCUAGUGACCGAUAGCGUAUAGUACCGUGAGGGAAAGGUGAAAAGAACCCCGGGAGGGGAGUGAAAUAGAACCUGAAACCCUGCACUUACAAGCUGUGGAAGCACAUUUCUUGUGUGACCGCGUACUUUUUGUAGAACGGGCCAACGAGUUACGUUAAGUAGCAAGGUUAAGCACUUAAGGUGCGGAGCCGUAGCGAAAGCGAGUUUUAACUGAGCGUUCAGUUACUUGACGUAGACCCGAAACCGGGCGACCUACCCAUGAGCAGGAUGAAGCGAAAGUAAAAUUUCGUGGAGGUCCGAACCCACGAGCGUUGAAAAGCUCGGGGAUGACUUGUGGGUAGCGGUGAAAUUCCAAUCGAGCCCGGAGAUAGCUGGUUCUCCCCGAAAUAGCUUUAGGGCUAGCCUCAAGGUGAGAGAUACGGAGGUAGAGCACUGAAUGUCCUAGGGGGUAUUGCACCUACCGAAGACUAUCAAACUCCGAAUGCCGUCAUCUUAUACUUGGGAGUCAGACUGUGGGUGAUAAGAUUCAUAGUCGAAAGGGCAACAGCCCAGAUCGUCAGCUAAGGUCCCUAAAUGUAAGUUAAGUGGUAAAGGAUGUGGGAUUGCACAGACAACCAGGAUGUUGGCUUAGAAGCAGCCACUCAUUCAAAGAGUGCGUAAUAGCUCACUGGUCGAGUGAUCCUGCGCCGAAGAUUUCCGGGGCUAAAACUUACUACCGAAGCUACGGCAUCAGUAAUGAUGGGUAGGGGAGCUUCCCAUACGGGUUGAAGCAUGACCGUAAGGACAUGUGGACAGUAUGGGAGUGAGAAUGUUGGCAUGAGUAGCGAGAUGUGGGUGAGAAUCCCACAGGCCGUAAACCCAAGGUUUCCAGGGGAAGGUUCGUCCGCCCUGGGUUAGUCGGGACCUAAGCUGAGGCCGAAAGGCGUAGGUGAUGGACAACAGGUUGAUAUUCCUGUACUACCGAUAACCGUUUGAGAGAAGGGAUGACACAGUAGGAUAAGCUAAGCACACUGUUGGUUAUGUGUGCCCAAGCAUUGAGGCAGUCAAAGUAGGCAAAUCCGCUUUGAUAAUGCUGGGAUGUGAUGGGGAGCGAAAUUUAGUAGCGAAGUAGCUGAUUUCACACUGUCAAGAAAAGUCUCUAUCGAGGUUAAAGGUACCCGUACCGCAAACCGACACAGGUGGGUGAGGAGAGUAUCCUAAGGCCAGCGAGAGAACUGUUGUUAAGGAACUCGGCAAAAUGACCCCGUAACUUAGGGAUAAGGGGUGCCACCAUCAGGUGGCCGCAGAGAAUAGGCCCAAGCGACUGUUUACCAAAAACAUAGGUUUCUGCUAAGUCGCAAGACGAUGUAUAGGAGCUGACGCCUGCCCGGUGCUGGAAGGUUAAGGGGAUCUGUUAGAGCAAUCGAAGCAGUGAACUUAAGCCCCAGUAAACGGCGGCCGUAACUAUAACGGUCCUAAGGUAGCGAAAUUCCUUGUCGGGUAAGUUCCGACCCGCACGAAAGGCGUAACGAUUUGGGCACUGUCUCAACAACAGACUCGGUGAAAUUGUAAUUCCGGUGAAGAUGCCGGAUACCUGCGACAGGACGGAAAGACCCCAUGGAGCUUUACUGUAGCUUGACAUUGGGUCUUGGUACUACAUGUACAGGAUAGGUGGGAGGCUUUGAAACCAGGACGCCAGUUUUGGCGGAGCCAUCCUUGGGAUACCACCCUUGUAGUACUGGGACUCUAACCAUAGGCCAUGAAUCUGGUCUUGGGACACUGUCAGGUGGGCAGUUUGACUGGGGCGGUCGCCUCCCAAAAGGUAACGGAGGCGCUCAAAGGUUCUCUCAGUACGGUCGGAAAUCGUACGUAGAGUGUAAAGGCAAAAGAGAGCUUGAUUGCAAGACAUACAGGUCGAGCAAGGAUGAAAAUCGGACUUAGUGAUCCGGUGGUUCUGCGUGGAAGGGCCAUCGCUCAACGGAUAAAAGCUACCCUGGGGAUAACAGGCUUAUCUCCCCCAAGAGUCCACAUCGACGGGGAGGUUUGGCACCUCGAUGUCGGCUCAUCACAUCCUGGGGCUGUAGUAGGUCCCAAGGGUUGGGCUGUUCGCCCAUUAAAGUGGUACGCGAGCUGGGUUCAGAACGUCGUGAGACAGUUCGGUCCCUAUCCGUCGCAGGCGUAGGAAAUUUGAGAAGACCUGUCCUUAGUACGAGAGGACCGGGAUGGACG